rnacentral:rRNA from 1 species
AACGAACGCUGGCGGCAGGCCUAACACAUGCAAGUCGAGCGGACCUUUCGGGGUCAGCGGCGGACGGGUGUGUAACGCGUGGGAAUAUGCCCUUCUCUACGGCCUAGUUCUGGGAAACUGGGGGUAAUACCGUAUACGCCCUAUUGGGGAAAGAUUUAUCGGGGAAGGAUUAGCCCGCGUUGGAUUCGGUAGUUGGUGGGGUAAUGGCCUACCAAGCCGCCGAUCCAUAGCUGGUUUGAGAGGAUGAUCAGCCACACUGGGACUGAGACACGGCCCAGACUCCUACGGGAGGCAGCAGUGGGGAAUCUUAGACAAUGGGGGCAACCAUGAUCGAGCCAGGCCGCGUGAGUGAUGAAGGCCUUAGGGUUGUAAAGCUCUUUCAGCUGGGAAGAUAAUGACGGUACCAGCAGAAGAAGCCCCGGCUAACUACGUG